UCACAACAGUUCGGAUUAUUGGGCGUAAGAGGACGCGGGCGGUUUCUUAAGUCUGGUGUGAAAUCUCUCGGCUUAACUGAGAGGGGUCAUCAGAUACUGGGAAACUUGAGGGCAGCAGGGGGAAAUGGAAUUCCCGGUGUAGCGGUGAAAUGCGUUGAUAUCGGGAGGAACACCAGUGGCGAAGGCGGUUUCCUGGGCUGUCCCUGACGCUGAGGUCCGAAAGCGUGGGGAGCAAACCGGAUUAGAUACCCGGGUAGUCCACGCCCUAAACGUUGUACACUAGGUAUGGGGGGUAUCGACCCUCUCCGUGCCGAAGCUAACGCCUUAAGUGUACCGCCUGGGGACUACGGCCGCAAGGUUAAAACUCAAAGGAAUUGACGGGGGCCCGCACAAGCAGCGGAGCGUGUGGUUUAAUUCGAUGCAACACGAAGAACCUUACCAGGGCUUGACAUGCUAGUAGUAGGGACCCGAAAAGGCGACGACCCGCCGCAAGGCGGGAGCUAGCACAGGUGCUGCAUGGUUGUCGUCAGCUCGUGCCGUGAGGUGUUGGGUUAAGUCCCGCAACGAGCGCAACCCCUAUUGCCAGUUGUGUUUUUCUGGCGAGACUGCCCCGCAAAACGGGGAGGAAGGUGGGGAUGACGUCAAAUCAGCACGGCCCUUACGCCCUGGGCCACACACACGCUACAAUGGACGGUACAACGGGUUGCUACAGAGCGAUCUGACGCUAAUCCCUGUAAAACCGUCCCUAGUUCGGAUUGCAGGCUGAAACUCGCCUGCAUGAAGUCGGAGUUGCUAGUAACCGCAGGUCAGCAUACUGCGGUGAAUACGUUCUCGGGCCUUGUACACACCGCCCGUCACGUCAUGGAAGCCGGUAACACCUGAAGUCGAUGAUUCAACCCGCAAGGGAGAUAGUCGCCCAGGGUGGACUGGUAACUGGGACGAAGUCGUAACAAGGUAACCAGGACUGGA
rnacentral:rRNA from 1 species